CAGCAAAUGGUGCUGGUCCAAUUGGAUGUCAGCAUGUAGAAGAAUGCAAAUAGAUCUGCAUCCAUCACCUUGCACAAAACUCAAGUCCAAGUGGAUCAAAGAACCCAACAUAAAUCCAGAUACACUGAACCUGAUAGAAGAGAAAAUGCAAAUAAUCUUAAACACACUGGCACAGGAAACAACUUCCUGAACAGAACACCAAUAGCACAGUCACUAAGAUCAACAAUAAAUGGGACCUCAUGUGAUUGAAAAGCUUCUGUAAGGCAAAGGACACCCUAAAUAAGAUGAAAUGACAGCCUACAGAGUAGGAAAAGAUCUCACCAACCCACAUCUGACAGAGGGCUGAGUUCCAAAAUAUAUACAAAGAACUCAAGAAACUAGCUAUCAAUUAAAAAUGGUGUAAAGAUCUAAACAGAGAAUUCUCCACAGAAGAAUCUCAAAUGGCUGAGGAACAAUUAAGGAGAUAUGCAACAUCCUUAGCCACCAGGGAAAUACAAAUCAAAAUAAUUCUGAGAUUCCAUCUUAUACCUGUCAGAAUGACUAAGAUAAAAAACACAAGCCCAUGCUAGAGAGGAUGUGGAGCAAGAGGAACACUCCUCCACUGCUGGAGGGAGUGGCAACUUGUGCAGCCACUUUAGAAAUCAGUAUGGCAGUUUCUCAGAAAAUUGGGAAUCAAUCUACCUCAAGACCCAGCAAUACCACUCUUGGGAAUAUACCCAAAGGAUACUCAAUCAUACCAUAAGGACACUUGCUCAGCUAUGUUCAUAGCAGCUUAAUUUGUAAUAGCCAGAGCUUGGAAACAACCUAGGUGUCCUUCAACUGAGGAAUGGAUAAAGAAAAUGUGGUACAUUUAUGCAAUGGAAUAUUACUCAGCUGUUAAAAACAAGAACACCAGGAAAUUGGAAGGCAAAUGGAUGGAACUAGAAAAAAUCACCCUGAGUGAGAUCAUCUUUUGCACAAACUUGUCAGGACUCUGAAGACACACCUAGUAGAUGGAAGCUGCAGGCAAGGUUGGAUUACUGUGAAGUUGCUUUUCUAUCCUCUCCAAAUGCCGCUCUUGGAAGUGACCAAUGCUUUCACCUCACAGUUGGCUGUGCAAGCUUAUUGUUCAUGCCACUUCCCGACUAUCAUGAUGAAGGUGGCAAAACUGGUGUCAUGAUUCACCCAAGACAUUACCAGCUGGUAAAUGACAACAGAUGAAAUGGUCCCAGUUUCUUUUUUACUCUAGUUUUGUUCUCUUGACAUCUUAAUAGGUUAUUUUGCAUGCAUAAAACAACAUACUAGGAUUAUCCUGUGAAAUGAUUAAGGUUAUUAAUAGCUUCAAAAACAUGAAGUAACAGUUUUUUAUUUCAAACUGGACUAUGUAUUAUGAUUUAGAGCUAUGAUCAAGUUUCUUCCACUAUCAUAAUUCCCAUGAUUUGAUUUUCUUUAAGGACAUAAAAAUAGUCAUGAUGUAAAACCAACCUAAUGUCCACUAUUUCAUAAAUAAGAGCAACAUAAAUAUGAAGUGGAAUAUUAUUCAGCUAUACAUACAUACAUACAUACAUACAUACAUACAUACAUACAUACGUGUCAUCAUUUCCUAAAGAAUACUCCUGGAGGCCAUUCUUCUAUUAGGCUAAGCAUAGAAUGACAGAUGAUCCUCUGAUAUAUGGAAUCUGAAAGACAAACCCAAAGAAGCAGACCCAAAGUAAAAUGGUGGUUGUUAGGAAAUGGGAAAGUGGGGAAAAUAGGGAAAUACUUAGCAAGGGCUAUAAACUUUCAGUUAGGCAGGCCAGUUAGGAUCUGCAGAUCUAACUGUUGUACAGCAUGGGCUCUACAGUUGGUACUCUUAUUACACACUUGACAUUUACUAGGGGGGUAGAGUUUGUUUUUCUUGUACUAGGGAGAAGGAGGGAUAGAGAGAACGUGUGAAGUAAUGGGUAUGUUAAUUCACUUGACUGUGCUAGUCAUUUCACGCUGUAUACAUAAAUAAAGUGUAAAUACAAACUUUUUAAUUUGCCAAUUAUAACUCAAUUAAAUGAUAUUCUUUCCCAUGCACCUUUUGGGAUUUGAUUGCCUUCUGUGGAUGAUUUAAUUUGUGACAGGUGUAAGGCUGCUUUGUGUUUCAGCAAGAAUACAAA
ensembl:lncRNA